rnacentral:lncRNA from 1 species
UCGGGAUCGUAACGCUGGCGGACCUCGAGGAAUUUGGCCAGGUUUGUGACUCGAGAGCCCAUGUCCUCGAACAUCGCGUUUUUGUUCUUCCCCCAGUGUGGCCUGCCUUUGUAUUUCUUGAGCAGCAUUUGCUCGAUCUCAUCCGUCGCGUCCUGGUCCAGCCGGGGCAUGUUUUGCCGGCGGUCUCUGAAGUAGAGCAGCUCGAAUGCAACUGAGUCCUCGGGCUCCGCGAGGUAGGCCGUGGAUCCUUUGAUGAAUCUGAGCUGUGCUCCGCCAUAGAUAUUUGCACCGCAGAGCUUGGUUGGGUCCAUUCCAUCGCGGAUCUUCUUUAUGUCUUGGAUGGCUUCGUUGAUCCUGGAGAGUGGGAUUGCUAGGGAUGUCUGGAAGUAGAAUUGUCCAGGAACGUCGGGGUCCCAGUAGCAUGUUAGCCUCUCCCCGGAUGCUGAUCGUGUGUUGUUUAGUGCAGUGUUUUGGCAGCCUCCAGCGGUUUGGAGCUGGUGAUUAAAUCCCACGACUGGAUAUCCGCGAAAGGUAUUGCUCCUGUCAUUCACCAGGCCAUCUCCGCUCGAGACUCGGUUCUCAACCCCGUUUAGUGAUUGUUGGCAGACGAAGGAAGCGUUCAUCUGGGACAUGAAGUUCUCCUCUACGUACAAGAAUCACAAUUUCAACGUAAGGUGAGAACUCUGAUUUUUAUGAGGUGUUGGAGCUUACCUCGGACUCUAGACUGUCUUACGUUUGUCUCUGGAGCAGGAUCAUUGCCAGCGUUCCUUCCCUCGCCAGGGGUACUUGCCGAGACCUUGUUGUCUACCCUCAGCAGGAUCUUCUUCUGAGAGAUGUAC